GGCUCGGUGGUGGAUGGUCCACACCUGUAUGUUGUAGACAUGUUAUCUCCUGUAUUGAGCAGGAGGAGCCUGUUCAAAUCAGGCCCGAGCCA